CAUUUUGAAGAAGAGACCAAAAGAAAGAAGAUAAUUGCCCUUAAAUUAAUGGCUCAAGAAGAAGAAGAUUCAGAAAAAUCAGAAAACGUGAAGAUGAUGAAGAUUUGGCAUUGAUCAUAAAAAAAGUUAGAUAAUUUAUAAAGAAAAGAAGAUAAGGGAUCAAGAAAAGACCACCAGUUAAGGAGAAGCUGAGUAAAAAAGAACAACCCAUCAUUUGUUAUGAGUGUAAGAAGUUGGAUCACUUU
rnacentral:lncRNA from 1 species